rnacentral:rRNA from 1 species
UACGGAGGGCGCAAGCGUUAUCCGGAUUCACUGGGGUUAAAGGGUGCGUAGGAGGGCAGGUAAGUCAGUGGUGAAAUCUCCAAGCUUAACUUGGAAACUGCCGUUGAUACUAUCUGUCUUGAAUAUUGUGGAGGUGAGCGGAAUAUGUCAUGUAGCGGUGAAAUGCUUAGAUAUGACAUAGAACACCAAUUGCGAAGGCAGCUGGCUACGCAUAUAUUGACACUGAGGCACGAAAGCGUGGGGAUCAAACAGG